rnacentral:rRNA from 1 species
ACGGAAGGCAGCAGUGGGGAAUAUUGCACAAUGGGGGAAACCCUGAUGCAGCGACGCCGCGUGAGUGAAGAAGUUAUUCGUAAUGUAAAGCUCUAUCAGCAGGGAAGAAAAUGACGGUACUUGACUAAGAAGCUCCGGCUAAAUACGUGCCAGCAGCCGCGGUAGUACGUAUGGAGCAAGCGUUAUCCGGAUUUACUGGGUGUAAAGGGAGCGUAGACGGCAAAGCAAGUCUGAAGUGAAAUCCCGGGGCUCAACCCCGGAACUGCUUUGGAAACUGUUUAGCUAGAGUGCAGGAGAGGUAAGCGGAAUUCCUAGUGUAGCGGUGAAAUGCGUAGAUAUUAGGAGGAACACCAGUGGCGAAGGCGGCUUACUGGACUGUAACUGACGUUGAGGCUCGAAAGCGUGGGGAGCAAACAGGAUUAGAUACCCUGGUA